UUCCCUGACCAGGGAUUGAACCUGGGCCACGGCAGUGAAAAUGCCAAGUCCUAACCACUGGACCACCAGGGA
rnacentral:tRNA from 1 species